GUGACACUGGGGACACAACCGACACCAGGCACAACAGGGACGCUGGGGACACCAGGGACACCCGUGACAAUGGGGACACCACUGACACCAGGGACAAUGGGAACAGGGACACCUGUGACUCUGGGGACACAACCGACACCAGGCACAACAGGGACGCUGGGGACAACAGGGACACCCGUGACACUGGGGACACAACCGACACCAGGCACAACAGGGACGCUGGGGAUGACCGGGACACCAGGGACACCCCUGACACUGGGGAUGAUGGGAACAGGGACACCUGUGACACUGGGGACACAACCGACACCAGGCACAACAGGGACACUGGGGAUGACCGGGACAACAGGGACACCCAUGACACUGGGGACACCACUGACGACGGGGACAAUGGGAACAACAGGGACGCCCGUGACAAUGGGGACACAACUCACAACAGGGACACCGGGGACUCAACUGACAAUGGGGGACACAAGCAACACUGAUGUUACCAAGGAGGCCAGUGACACCAGGGACACCGCAGCACGGCACAGUCGACAGGGACACCGGGGACUCAACUGACAAUGGGGGACACCGGGGACACAAGCAACACUGAUGUUACCAAGGAGGCCAGUGACACCAGGGACACCGCAGCACGGCACAGUCGGGGCCAUGGGGACAGAGCCCUGGUGCCAGCGGAGCUCCCAGUACCACCAGUUCCCUCCCAUUUCCCCCAGUGCUCCCCCAAGCCCCUCCCAGUACCUGGCCCAGGCCUCCCCGACCGGCUCCCAGUACCCCC
rnacentral:lncRNA from 1 species